rnacentral:ribozyme from 13 species
CAUCUCAAAAAUAAGAUCGUCUUAAAAAUAACGAAUCAAGAAGAAAACAAAAACAAAAACGAUACAGAUGAGAGACAAGAGAAAGCUUGGUGUAAAUCUCUCUUGCUUUUUUUUUUUG